rnacentral:lncRNA from 1 species
UGGAGGGAACAAUACUAUAUAUGUGACUGACUUAUUACCACAAAAUCUAAGCGGGUUCUUUUUUUGACAAAAGCAAAGCAAACUCAACUCAUUUCAUUAAUAAGAAUAUCAUCAAUACAAGUGGAAGGAAAAUAAAAAAAACUGGUUACUAGCCCGAUAAUUGGCUGCCCUUGCUAAAGUAUGAGCAACUGAAUUCGCUUACUGACUACUCUACCACAAAGUUUGAACUAAUUGGCAGCCCUUGCUAAAGUUUGAACUGACAUUAAUAAGCACACUUGAUAUCACAAUUUCAAAAGAGCGAUGCUAAACGGUGCAAAUAGUAUUAAAUUUGCCGAACAAAGAAAACAACUUACAAUACAAAUGGCAGAGAGUAAAAUUGACAAUCUCAAACAAUGA